GACACAAAGUGCACGAAUCUUUAUGUGCAGUAUAUUAAUGAACCAGCAACAGGCAGCUGAUUGGUUUGUGUAAUUGUGACCAAUCAUGGAUGCUAAAGGUCAUCAGCCUGAUAACUCUCUGAUCGGUUCUGGGGUAGCUGAACAGCUUGUGGGUGUGAACAGCACAGGGAAACAGCCUUUGGGCUCCUGGUAGGGAAGUUUGUGUGUUUGGGUCUUUUUCUCUGCAGUAAAAAGGCCUGUCAAUAUUUGAGUUAAAGGAUUUGGAGGCUUUUUAAUGUCUUGAGAAAAUAGUGAAACAAAUGAAUUUGCCAAUGAGAUCCUGGACAUUGAUCAUGCAGUAGCCAAAGAAUGGAUGAUUAUUCAUCAGGUAGUGGUACCACCCAGAUGUCAUAAGGAGACAUGUGUAACACCAACAGCAUGGGUUCAGUUGUUGCAUUGGCUGAGGUUACCAUGAUGGACUUUUCUUCUCAAUCUCUCCCCUCUCCUGAAGUAUGGACAGCCUCCGGUUAAACCACGAUCUCUCUCUAAUGAGAGAGCAACUCU